UAGAAGACUGCCUUUCCUGGCGCCAGCUGUGACCAAUUAUUACUUAAGAGAAACAGUUAACAACCGCCUGAGCAUCACCUGAUGCUUGCCCAACACUCUGGUGUGUGUGUGUGGGGAGGCCCUCUCCUGUCCUACGCAUGCCUGACUAGCUACCCACUGUAACAUUUUCCCACUCAAGAGUCCAAGACCCCAAAUCUUCGGAAGAAAAUGGAUGAAGAUGCCUCACUUGUUUCACUCUGACUGCAAGAGCCGAUUUUGUUUGAGCUGCCCUAGCCGCAGGGUUACUGAGUGAGCUCUACGUGGGACAGGCACCACAGAAGAGCCACCAGGUUGUUUGUGUGUGAUAGAGACGUGGCUCACUUGGAGAAUAAGCAGCUAAAAGUAGAGCUCAAGGGCAGCUUUACAAAAGCUACAUUCCCUGUGUUCCUGAGGUUUCUAAAAGAAUAUAUUUUCAUGGUAGUUACGGAGGGGUCAAGGUUCUUGGACAUCUGAGUCCUGUCCUGCCUUAGUCAUGUCCU
rnacentral:lncRNA from 1 species